CCCCCCGGCACCUCCACCCGGGGCUACGCUGAGCUCUUGGCUGCCAGCACUUCUGCGGAGAGCUAGCCACCUGCGCAUCCCGCCCCCUUCCUUGGGUCUGUCGCGACAUUCUAUGGCAAGACCAGUAGGUCUUGGGCUCGGAGUUUCUGAGGCUUCUGGAAGGCCCCUCUCAGGCUGCUGGGGCACGGUCAUCUGACCCCUUGGGGUCCAACAGCAUCGGAGGAAACCGGAGACUGAAUAGGGAUCUGAGGAGUGUAGCCGAACAAAACGCCCACUCCACCUUCCAGCAGGCAGAAACAGCCGGGUUGCCCUCUGGGCCCUUGCGAGGCAAAGAUAGGCCAUACUUGAAACAUAUCCUCCCAAUACCCAGAAGAAAGGAGAAUCCUUAUGAAAGGUUGUUGCUGACACACGAAAAGACACCGGGAUUCUUGGCCUCCGGAGGAGAAGAAUUCAAUCCGGGGCCAGAGACGAGGCUUGAUCACGCAGAGCCUUGUGUAAUAAAGUUUUAUUAAAGUAUAAAGGAGAUAGAGAAAGCUUCUGACAUAGGCAGAAAGAGUACCCCCUUGCUAGUGUUAGCCGUGGAGUUAUAUACUCUCUAAUUAGUUAUUACAGUGAAUCAGAAGAACGUCUGGAGAUUGUAAAGACCUCACUAGACCUACUCCCAGAAUUUGCACCUUAAGAUAACAGGAUUAGCCAGAAGGUUUUUUCCAGAGACUGUCCUCAGGCAGGAAACAUUAUUGUUCUAUAAUCCUUAGGAAUGUAGAGGGACAAAAAACUUUGCCCUUUUUUCCUCCUUGAGAAUUCCAGAUCCCUCUCUUCUUGGGGACCCCUGGACUUAUCAAUCUGCCUAGGAAUUGACUCUCUCACUUAUCUCUGAGAACAAGGGGACUCUGACAAGAACCUGAACACACAGGCUUUGCUAAGUUACCUGCUGUUCACUAUACUUAACCUCCCCCUCCUUACCUGUCAUAUUUAUUCACAACUCAUCAUCAAACAGCAUAAAAUAUUCAAAUCUAAGGAAAAUCUUUCCAUCCCCUUUCACUCUCACUUGCCUUCUUUUCUCCAUUUUCAUCUAAACUAUACAACUAAGAAUCCUAAGUAGGCAAAGCUACUGGUCCUUCAAAGAGGCUGUGGCCUGUAAGAAGUCUAAGACAAAUGACCUAAAAGGUGAGACCAAUCCAGUCUCCUGGAGUUCUGGCCUAGCACUGCCUGUGGAGUCCGUGUGCCCUGUAUGGGCAAAGCAAGGGGAGAGAAAAGUGAAGACAGAAAAUGCGUGAACUAACAGGAUGAUUUUUGUACAGAAGGACCACAACUGUUUCUCCUAGGAUACAGACACUACUGUCCAGGCAGCCUUCCUCUGUACUGCUGACUUCCAGCGCCUGGUUACACAAGUGUCUGAGCUCUUCCCAAAUCUUCUCCUUACUUGGGAUAAGUGUUGGCUGAUUUUGAAUUUGGACAGAGCCUGAGAAGUUUGUAGGUGCUCACUUGCCAGUGCUGGGAAUUAGCUAAGAAAUCUAGGAACACAGGGGAAUUCAACAGCCCAUGGAAAGGGGGUUUAAAAAAAAAAAAAAAAACAAAGAGCUCCUGGACAUGAAGAUUCAUGAUCAGCUGCCUAUCCUGUAUUGUCUGCAAGCUGAGCUCCGGAGCAUGGGACUGCUGUGCUAUUUGUGUGUAUAUUAGGUCUAAUUCACAAACAUGAAGUUAGCCAUUUAAAAGGGAACAGUUCAGUGCGUUUAGCACAUUCACAAUGUUGGGCAACCACCACCUCUAAUUCCAAAACACUUUCAUCAGCCCAGAAGGAGCAGUCACACUCCACUCCCCUCUCAAGACCAAGAGACAUGGGAAGGCUAGAACUCAAUAACCCUUUAUUUCCUGGAGAUGUUCCAAGAAGCUCAAAUCGCUCAAAAGGGAAAGCACUGGACAGAAAACCCAGAGCUUCACAGCGUGACCCUGAGGGUCUCAGACAAUGAUUAUCGUUCUCUUCAGUUGUGUUCUCAUUAACAGGGAGGGUAGCUUUCAGGCCUCAGCUUUCUGCCUUCUUCAACCUGAGCUGUCUGCACUAUGUCAACUUUGCAUGCCUGUUCAAACACCAGUCAUUUCCCAGGGAAUCCCUUAGGCCUGCGAAUAAGCCUGGCUCUAAGAAACACUCAGCUGUUCUGAACUUUGGAAGUGUCCUGAUACAGCAGCUUCUGUCCCCGUAGAAUUUGCAGUGUACCCUCCUCUGGCAUGGCAUGUGGAUGUGUGUUCACUGAUGAAAUAAAAUGCAUAUUUUAUGAAAGACAAAAAUUUAGACGUAAAAUUUGUUUUCUGCCCCUUUGGGCCUCCUCUGUCUCAUUCAGUGUGUUAUGCACCUGCGUUAAUUCUACCUCUUUAGGAGACAGCAUUCCUUCCUAAGGGGUCACAACAACCCACUUCUUGCUUCGUAUCUGCAGAUCUGGAUUGUGUAAACUGUCUUUAUAUCAUUUAACAUAUGAACUUUUAUCUCAAAAACUCUGCUUUGAUGGACUUUCUGAGAGACUGGCUCCCAGGUUAUAAUUCUUAGAUUGGCUUGAAUAAAAUUGAUUGUUUUUUUGUUGACAUCACCAUCCUAGAAACUCUCUGAACCCUGUCUUUUGGGUUUUUAUGAAGGCUUCAUUACAUAGGCAUAACUGAUUAAAUCAUUGACCAUUGGUGAUUGAUUCUAUCUUUAGCCUCUCUCCCCUGACUGAAAGUCAAGUGAAGUUAAAGUCCUUCAGUUGGGUCCAGCACUUUGUGACCCCAUGGAUUAUACAGUCCAUGGAAUUCUCCAGGCCAGAAUACUGGAGUGGGUAGCCUUUCCCUUCUCCAGGGGGUCUUUCCAACCCAGGGAUGAAACCCAGGUCUCCUGCAUUGCAGGCAGAUUCUUUACCUGGUGAGCCACCAGGGAAGCCCCUGAAAGUCAAGGGGUGCAGCUAAAAGUUCCAACCCUCUAAUAAGCAUGGUUGCCAUUGAGUCUGACAACCAGACUCAAUGCUCUGGCGCUUUCUAAAAGUCACCUCAUUAACACCUUUACCCUUUUCAUCACAGGAAAGUCUCAGGGUUUUAGGCGCUCUGUGUUAAAAACUGAGGGUCAGAG
ensembl:lncRNA